rnacentral:tRNA from 1 species
ACAUUGGUGGUUCAGUGGCAGAAUUCUCACCCUCCAUGUGACAGACCCGGGUUCGAUUUCUGGCCAAUGCA